GGCCUAUUAGCUCAGUUGAUUAGAGCGUCGUGCUAAUAAUGUGAAGGUUGUAGGUUUGAAACCUGCAUAGGCCA
rfam:Glycine max cultivar Williams 82 chromosome 3, whole genome shotgun sequence.